UCGACAUUAGAUACCCGGGUAGUCCAGGGUGUAAACGCUGCAGACUUGGUGUUGGGAACCCUUCGGGGGUGCUCAGUGCCGGAGAGAAGUUGUUAAGUCUGCUACUUGGGAGUACGUCCGCAAGGAUGAAACUUAAAGGAAUUGGCGGGGGAGCACCGCAACGGGAGGAGCGUGCGGUUUAAUUGGAUUCAACGCCGAAAAACUCACCAGCAGCGACUGUUACAUGAAAGUCAGGUUGAUGACCUUACUAGAUUUUCAG
rnacentral:rRNA from 1 species